UACGAAGGGGGCGAGCGUUGUUCGGAAUUACUGGGCGUAAAGGGCGCGCAGGCGGUCCUUCAAGUCAGAUGUGAAAGCCCCGGGCUCAACCUGGGAACUGCAUUUGAGACUGAAGGACUUGAGGACGGGAGAGGAGAGUGGAAUUCCCAGUGUAGAGGUGAAAUUCGUAGAUAUUGGGAAGAACACCGAUGGCGAAGGCAGCUCUCUGGACCGUUACUGACGCUGAGGCGCGAAAGCGUGGGGAGCAAACAGG
rnacentral:rRNA from 1 species